GUGAGCCAUCCUCCACUGCACUCCCUGGCCACAGCAGAGAGCUGGCCUGGAAGAGGGGCAACCGGGACAGAAUCCGGCGCCCCGACCGGGACUAGAACCUGGUGUGCCGGCACCGCUAGGUGGAGGAUUAGCCUAGUGAGCUGCAGCACCGGCCUGACCCAUGUCUUAACCUCUUGGUCAACCCUCUCCAACCCCUUCCAACCCCUCCUGCCCCCUCCUACCGCCUCCCCAGAAGCAAACUUUGUUGAGCCUCAUUGUCCAAAGGCCCUGGGGGAGUGCCUUGCUCCCUGCAUCUUGAAAUAAGGUGGAUUUUUUCCCUCCAAAAAUAGAGGAAAACGAAAUAGUUUUUCCUUUUUGUUACCAAUGCCUGUGGCUUGGUGUGGGGCAGGAAGGCUGCCUGACCUGUGCCAGGAAUCUCUUGCUCUACUCCGCCACCCACUUUCUUCUCUGUUCCAAGGCAACUGCCAGAAGCUAUAGUUUAAUAAGAGGUAAACUAGUGGUUUUUUGCCCUUUGACCCAAGUUUGCCUUCAGAGAGCGCAUAGUGCUUGAGAUUCCGAGAAGUCUCAUCGGCUGUGGAGAGAUGUGGAUGGCCUGAGUCUGCAGACCACGAGUGGGGGAAGGACCAAGGGUCAUGUAGGUCCUGCAACGGUUGGGACUUGCUUAAAUGUUUUAAAAUGUUAGGGAGGAAUUGAAGAGCAAAGACUAGGAAAAUCCAGCAGGGUUUGAGUUUAAGAAUAACUGCAUAUUUAAAAAAAUAAUACAUGUUGUGGUUUUAUUUCACUGCUUUUGGAAACUUAGCUGGCAGUGUGACCAUUGAUGACAUUUUAUCACAUGGGCUCCAAGUGGCUUAGGAAUCAGAUUAAACUGCUCACUAAAAUGACAAUUCUUUUCGUGAAUUGUUAUUUUAGUGAGCAGUUUAAUCUAGAUUCUAGAUUUCCAAGAGGAUUCAGUCCUGCACAAAUGGUCCCAUGUCCUUCUGUCACCCUUGUAUUUGAGAGGCUGGCGCUGCUCCCAUCUCCUGACAAAGCUGGAGGACAGCAGCUGAUGGAGCCCCUGGGGGCUGCUCCUGUUUUACGAGGGCUUCUUUGGAAGGAAGGAGAGUGGUUGCAGAAAGACAUUAUUGGCACUUCCGGUAGUAAAAGGCAAUUUGAUGGAGGCGAGGAACAAAGAGAGUGUGGAUUUUGUGAUGAUGAGGUUGGAUUUAUUAUUCUUGUAACAGCUUUAUUGAGAUAUAAUUCAAGUACCAAACAAUUCACCCACUUGAAAGGUACAAGCCGAUGGUUUUUAGCCUGCUUAGAGGUGUGCAAGUCUCACUACUAUCAAUUUCAGAACAUUGUCAUCAGCCCCCAAGGAGACUUCAUCUCCUCCAUAUCCACCCCAAACCCCAGCUCCUGGCAACCAUGAACCCACUUUUUGUUUUCACGUAUUUGCUUGUUCUGGACAAUUCGUGUCAAUAGAAUCAUACCUUGCAGGGCCUUUGUAACUGGCUUCUUUAGCAUUUUCAAGAUUCAUCCGUGUUGGCGCAUGUACUUCAAGCCUUUUUAUAGCCAAACAAUAUCCCCCUGCAUGGGUACGCCACAUUCUGUGUGUCUGCUUAAAGCUGUAUGUGAAUCACUCGGCAAAAUCCCCGAGUGCCUGCGGAGUGCUCCCGGAACCAGAGGAUGACCCACUCAUUCACAAGCACAUCUUUGCGACUGACCCAGUUGUCCCUGGAGGAGGCGUUUCUUCUUCCUUUCUCUGUUCUGACCAUCACACUCCAAGGUGUAUAUACACUCUAACUACAAAUAAUAUAGGGAAGAAGCUCACGGUCAUUUUGCCGUUGGUGCUUUAGUGGCCAUUGAACAUUCCCUUUUAGGAGCCAGAAGCUUUGCAGUGAACAAAACAAAGUUUCUGCUCUUCUGGAGCUUGGGGUGUCCUGGGGGACAAAGGCAGGGGGCAAAUGAUAGUGUUGUGUGGUGGGUGAUGGUAAGAGGCGGGAGAGCCGUGGAGCAGGGUGCAGAGACGCAGAAUUCAGGAUUUUCCCUGUGGACACAGAUUCUUUUCUCCGGCAGCACCUGGAUGCUCCCCAGGGAGUAGUGACAGAGCUAGGCACUUGGUUCCCCAACAGUGCCUCUGGCCUCCUGUGGCGGGGCGCUCCUGGAGUGUGUUGUGGUUUGAACAUGGUUUGUCACCGCCUCGCUCCUGUUGGCCUUUGAGUACCACCGUGGCAGUAUGGGGAGGCUGGGCCUUCAUAAGGCAACUGGCUGCCCUUUGGGGACUGGAUAAGGCGCAGCGAGAGCAGGUUCUUACAGAGCGAGGCUGCCCUGUGCAUCCGCUCUUUUGCGCACACCCGCUUGCCCUUCUGCCAUGACCUUGCACCUCCCAGGUGGCAGAACUGUGAGCCCAGCUCAGGAUCUGCCCUGGUGAAUCAGCUGCUCUCAGCUCUUCUGUUCUGGCAACAGAGGACAGUCCAGGACAGGGAGCCAUGGGCCCACAUUGCCCUGCUGUUCUGCACAUUUGCAGUUGUCCCUGGAGGAGGCGUUUCUUCUUCCUUUCUCUGUUCUGACCAUCACAUUCUAGGGUGUAUAUACACUCUAACUACAAAUAAUAUAGGGAAGAAGCUUACGGUCAUUUUGCCAUUGAUGCUUUUGUGGCCAUUGAACAUUCCCUUUUUGAUCCGAAGGACUUUUUUUUUUUUAAUAUUUAUUUGAAAGUCUGUGUUGGGGGUGGGGAGAUCUUCCACCCACUGGUUCACUCCCCAGAUGGUAGCAGUGUCCAACACUGUGCCAGAUGGAAGCCAGGAGCCAGGAGCCAGGAGCUUCUUCUGGGUCUCCCAUGAGGGUAGCAGGGGCCCAAGUACUUGGGCCAUUUUCUGCUGCUUUCCCAGGCCAUUUUUAGGGAGGUGGAUUGGAAGUAGAGCAUCUGGGACUCAAACUGGCAUCCAUAUGGGACGCUAGUGUAGCAAGUUAAGCCACUACAACACGUGCCCUCCCUGUCCCUGAGGGACUUGGUUUUUAUCAGCUAACUGUGGAGGAAGUGUGUGUUGGUACCUGUUGUAAGCCAGGUGUUUGCAGGUGCCUUGAGGACUCCCUGGUGCUGGAUGAGGCUGUGCUAAUUGUGUGCUGUGCAGGCAAGGCUUAUCGCUGACUGUGCUCCCAACAGUGUCUACCUGAACACCCCAGACAGUACCUGCGCUGCCUUCUCUUGUCAAGCUGGCAGUCUCAUUUUUUAGAAUUAGAGUGGGAAUUUGGAAAAAUUAUGAGAAAUAUCCCUAAGCAGAGAGUUUUUUUAAAAGAUUAUUUUUAAAAGAUUAUUUUUUCUGGGGCGCUGUGCUGCAGUGGGUUAAUGGGGUUAAUGCCCUGGCCUGAGGUGUUGGCAUCCCAUAUGGGCGCCGGUUCAAGUCCUGGCUGCUCCUCUUUCGAUCCAGCUCUCUGCUGUGGCCUGGGAAAACAGUGGAAGAUGGCCUAAGUCCUUGGGCCCCUGCAUCUGCGUGGGAGACCUGGAGGAGGCUCCUGGCUCCUGGCUUCGGAUCGGUGCAGCUCUGGCUGUUGCGGCCGGUUGGGGAGUGGGCCAACAGAUGGAAGACCUUUCUCUCUCUCUCUCUCUUUCUCUCUCUCUCUCUCUCCUCUCUCUGUAUAACUCUGACUCUCAAAUAAAUAAAUCAAUAUUUUCUUUAAAAAGAUUAUUAUUUCUUCUCUGUGUGCACAAUCAUAUCUGAAGAAAACUAGAAAUGAGUGCACUUAGAAGAAAAUAAUGUCAUCGUAGCAGGCCACUUGCAUGAAAAUGCCUUUUCCUUCUGAAAAAUUUUUCAAAUUUUUUUGGAGCUGAGUCCUGGGAGCCCUCUCCUUGUGCCAGGCUCUUGGGCCUGGGGGGAACGUGACAUCUGACAUCUGGGCCACUAAUGAGAUCCCUUCAGCCACAGCUCAGGUCCAAGGCUCUGCCCUGUGGGCCUGAGGACACACACACACUGGCUGCCCAGCUGCUCUGGGGAACUGAGCCCUCCCUGGGCCAAGUUAUUCAUCCAAGUAAAAGCUGCCCACUGCCUCGGGGAAAAACAAAGGUCGUGAAGUUCCUGGGCGCCCUGGGCAUUUACUCUUAAUUAACAGUCUGAGUGGCUGGAGACAGCUCUGAAAAGCGGCCAUACCCCCCAACAAAAGGAAAAAGGAUCCAGUGUUUCUAGUGGUAGUGCUGUCACUCCUAUGGGAAUCCGCUUACGCUGAUAAGAAUCUACCAGAUUUGCCUUCUGCAAUGACCCUUAUUUGGGGCUUUAGUUUGCUUAGGUUACUCAUGUAUGUUGCUUUAAAAAAAAAAAAAUCCAAGCAAUGCAGAUGAGAGAUAAGCCUUAAAAAACCACUGCCCCUCCCACCUGCAAUCCCUGCCUGUCCCCUGCUCCCCCCCUCACCCACCCCCCAGGCCAAGCAGAGUUGCAUGCAUGUUGUGGCAAAGACAUUUAAUACCACAGGACUUCCAGAUGAGGCCCUGCAAACAGCACUCACGCACGGCCGGCUGAGCCAGGACUUGCAUCCUUUCUUAGCACCUCCCUCCUAGAAGCUUUUGCCUUUACCGGCUUUGUCAAGCUAGCAACUUCGAACAAGACAAUUCUUAUAAAUCCUGGUGCCUGGGCAUGGCAGUGCUCAGGAUCUGGUAACUAUGUUACCGGGGAGUAUAUUUUAAAAUUAAUAUUUCGGGUUCUUGUCUCAAGCUUAGAGAAGCAUCCUAAGCUUAGACAGACACAAGAUAGGCAACAUGGGAGGGUUCAGACUUUAUUUGGGGGAGUGAGAGAAAUACACAGGAAUGUGAGGGCUUUAUUUAAGGGAGAGGCAGGUCAGACAGAUGAACCAGGAGUUCCAUACCAGGCAGUGGACAUACUGAGGGCCACUGGUGGGAGUCCACAAGCGGACAGCAGUGGCAGCAAAUAUGGGCCUUGAGUGUACAGGGCAAGAAGCAGCCAAAUGGCCACAGGCCCAGGAGGCGCAUGGGAGAGCAGGGGCGGGGCCAGGAGCACUCCACACCUCUUAUUCACUUCCAAAGGGGAGUGGUUACUAGUCUGAUUGGCAGUGGUGUAUACAGGUGAGGGCGGGGAGGGGCAGGAGAGGGGCGUGGUCUCUAGCUCCUGAGCCUAAACAAUGUAUUCCUUUCUGCCUGUCGGUAUCAGCUGUGUUAAUAAUUAUUUGUGAAUUAGCUGCUAAAUUAGAGCUGCCAAAUAAAACACAGGAUACCUAGUUUUCGGAUGAUAAGAAAUAAUUUUUUAGUGUGAUUGUCCCUUGAUACCUACAGGAGUACCGAUCUCACCACCCCAGCCAGCUCCUUGGCUGCUGACGGGCGUGAAGGUUGGUGGUGCCGUCCUGACUGUAAGCUGGGGCUCUAUCUGUUGCCGGCUCGCUCGCCGUCCGCUUCUCCCUGCCCCUUCUCACCCGAAACCCCUCCUUCAAAGUCUGGAAUGGAGCAAGAGCCCCCAGGGAUGGCUGUGGGGUUAUUCCAGCGACGGGACAGGAGGUGAGGGUGAGCAAGACUGUUGGGCCCUGGGCCUUGAAAUGAGCCUGGCAGAGAGGGGAGGGUGGGCCCCACGACAACUGUCUGGACUCAAGGAGGCAUUUGGGGCCAUCCUUUCUGGGUUUAUGGAGCUAGCGUCCUGCCUUAGACUGUUGAUGUGCGGUGUUCUUCCCUUCUCUUUCUCAGGGAAAACAUCCCACGCACACCGGUUGCGGGGUUGGGUGGGGGGUGGGGGGGCUCUGACGUUUGGUGGAUGAGGACACAGCAUGUGAUUGCGGUUUUCACCAACAGCACGGACACCGAGGACGUGUUUCCUGGCAAAAUGCCACUCUGUAACGUAGACUCCCAAACCCUUUAUUUAUUUAUUUUGGCAGCGGGUGUGUGUGUCUGAUUUCAACGAGCCGACCACUCUCUUUCUCGUGCUGUCUGGCUUUCUCUGCCUUCCUCCCCGAUUCCUCUCUCUCUGCAAGCCCCGUCUUCCCUCACCCACUCCCAGGCCAGGCUGAUCCGGAGCACCCCUGAGUUUUCCUCAGCUCUGGCUUCCAUGAAGACCGGAAGAAAUUCCCUGUUGCAUGUGGUGUGUGAGAUUCGAGGGGAGCCGUAGCCCAGGAAGGUGGGCGGGAGCGGAAGAGAGGUGUGGACACUGCUUGCCGUCUUCCCCUUGCUCUCUUGCUCUAGGGAGGAUGCCUUCACAAUGAGUGUUGUCCGAGGCCAAGGACCAACUGCUUUUGUACCCAUCGACUGCCCAGUUUCCUGGGAGCUGCACUGAUGGAGAAUCAGAGUUCAGUUCUGACUUGGAACUUGGAACAGACAGGGACAGUGAAAGAUGUCGGGGCCGGCUUGUGGCGCAGGAGGUGAAGCCGCAGCCUGCAACGCUGGCCUCCUGAGUCAGAGCACAGGUCUGGGUUGCAGCUGCUCUGCUUCUGAUACAGCUUCCUGCAAUGCACCUGGGAAAGCAGCAUAAGGUGGCUGAAGGGGCUGGUGCUGUGGUGGAGCAGGUAAAGCCACCGCCUGCAGUGCUGGCAUCCCAUAUGGGCGCCAGUUCAAGACCCAGCUGCUCCUCUUCCAAUCCAGCUCUCUGCUAUGGCCUGAGAAAGCAGUGGAAGAUGGCCCAAGUCCUUGUGCCUCUGCACCCGUUUGGGAGCCCUGGACGAAGUUCCUGUCUCCUGGCUUUGGAUCAGCCCAGCUCUGGCCAUUGUGGAUGGAAGACCUCUCUUUCUGUCUCUCUGCCUCUGCCUCUCUAUUUGUUUUAGAACAAAUAAUAAUUUCUUGUCAAAAUGCCUCAUGCAAAGAUUGAAGCACGCAGUGAAAUGUAAUACGAUGUUGUGAAUUCUAGAAGGAAAAUCUGACCGAGCAGCACAUGGGGCUGAUUUGAUAGAGAAUUUCCAAAGGCCUUUGGCAAGAGAGACAUAAGAAUCAUGGGCCUGGAAUAUGACCCUCACUCAUUUCACAGUAGCUAAGAUGUGGAAUCAACCCAAAUGUCUGUCAACAGAAGACUGGAUAAAGAAAUUAUGGGAUAUUACACAGUGGUAA